UGACGUUUGUCUUUGGUGUUCUUUCAUCUUGCAAUCAAGUGCCAAUCCUUCUUCACAGAAUUCUUCCAACACAGUCCUGGUUGCCAAAGUGUUUUGAUCAGAGAUAUGGAUAUGAGAGGCAUUCCUCCACAGAAGAGGCUUAACCACUUUGGCCCUUGAGAUCUUUACUUGAUCAAAACUUCUACAAGCGUGCUGGCAUGCUGGAGUCAGCUAGAAUUGGAUUGCCAGAGCCUGUUGUGUGCACCUGUCCCCAACUCUGUCCAGUGACCUCAGCCUCCUUUCACAGAGACUGAAUUUCAAUCAGCUGCUCUCAGUUGACAAUGAUAAAAUUAUCUCUAUAUGGGCAAAUGCGUGCUCUUUGUCGAAAAAGAAAGCUUCAGCUUCAUGUUCCAGGUGAGUUAAUUAGGCAAUGUAUGAAUGCUAAUAUCUCUUUCACAUAUUUUGCUUAAGAUCUGUCUUAGGACUCUCGUCUGGCCCAUAUGGUUUUCCAAGGGCAGAAGGGCCUCUUUUUGAUGAGAGGCAGUUUUCAGUAACUCUUAAAGUGAUAACAGCAAAGGAGAGGAGAGAGAAGAGUAAGACAAAUCGAAACAUUCUUCAAUUGCUUCUUGGCCUUUUGGCUAAGCUCAAGCUCAAAACAGGUCUUCAAGGAGAAAAUACAUCACAAAGAAAAGGAUGUUUUAUUUCUUACCUUGUCCUAGAAAAAUUUCCAUAAACUCUAUUGGCUUAAUUCUGUAAACUUGACCAAUAUCAGAGUGCUUCCUACCAAGGAGGGUAGCUGAUGAGCGUGACCAUGGUACAUCCUAGAAGAAUGUGUGAUGAAGAAGCUUUCACCGUGUAAAAGAGUUGAAAAUUAUUCAAGGAGACAUUAUGGUCUUGGCCAUAAUUUAAGAACCAGUUUAAAAUAAUUUUUAUAUAGAACUUAGAGUCUAAUUUCUCAGCACAAUUCUUCUUCCCUCCUGAGUGUGGGCUGCUGGAGUGUCAGUUCCAAAUUCUUAUGCAUGAGUAAUCUUAGCAUAUUCAGUAAUAUAUUCCUCUUAUGAGAAAGUAAUCAAGUACAAUAUAACUGAUGACUUUCUUGAUUCAGUAAUCAGUAAUUUGUGAUCAAUUUUACCUGAUGGUGACAGCUUGGUGUAUAAGUUAGUGCUAAUGUAUAUUACUGCAUUUCAUUUCUGUGGAGCCUGUCAGCUGAGCAAAGGAGGGAAACUCAGGAUGGAGAACUCCUCCCCCUCCAUCCAUAAGUGGCACACCACUGGCCUCCUGGUGUUAUUAAAGGAAAAUUGGAAAAGUUUCCAGAAGAUUAAGCAGAAAGCUUACAACUUGCACAAGACUCUCAAUUUUCCAGUGGCUCUGACAGAAGGAUAAAUCUUCGGCUGUUUUAACUAAAAUGGACGGUCAAGUUGGUAUCCAUCGUGAAGCUAAAUGAAUAUCUGGACAGGAGUCAGACAAAGGGAAGGAGAAUCCAGGGGAAGAUGAAGCAGCUGCAGGCCUGUCUGCUACCCUAUAUCCGGGGAAGAGCCAGAAAUGCCUGCCAGAGUACAAUAUAUAACCAUCAAACCGACUUUUUCUGUAUAAUAACUGUUAGACAUGAAUAUACUGUGAACUUCCUCAACGUUCUUAUCCCAGGCCUCCUGGGUCCAGCAUCCCUGUCUUCUUGUCAACUUUUCAAGUAAAGUAAUGCAUUUCAUUACAUUUUGGAUGCCACACCAGUUUAAUCCCAUUGAUAGAGGGCUAUGCAAUCAAGCUGACAGUUGGAUGAUGAUUUGAAUCGUCCUGACUCAUUACUUUGUGAAGGAUUUGGCAUGCCAAUCAAUGGGGAAUGAUGUGCCGUGCCUUGAAGAAUGACAGUAAUCCAUUUUCCACCAAUUGACCUGAUGAGUCCUUGACAGACUCACAAGUUAUAGGGCCAAAGCCAAACAUGAUUUGGCACAUGCCUCCCAGCACUGCCAUUUUGCAGACCCUUGGGGUAUUUAUCAAAACUGUAGCCUUCUUGUCUUCUGCUGUCAUCGGCCACACAUCUUCAGGAGGUAGUCCAGCUUAAUAGGCUUUUGCAGGUGAGUAAUGGGCAACUUUCUUGACCUCACCUGAUAUACUUAUCCAAAGUAUAUCUGUAAAGAAAUAAAUUGAACCUCCUAAUUACUCCCACCCAUGCUGGCACAUGUAAAUUUAUACAUCUGAGUGAGAGCUGUCUUUCAAAGUAGUCAUCCUGGGAGUAGAUAUAUCUAUUCUAAUGAGGUUGUCAACAUUCAACAGGCAUUUGAAAUUUCUCUUUUAAAAUUUUCUUCAGAACCGGUGUUUAAUUACCAGUACUUUCAAAGGACACCUGUUUCGAGGUCACAGUUGUAGUCUCAGCUUGAUCAUGUUCAUGUUCGUCUAAUUCUCCUUUUCCUGUUUCUCAAAACGAGUCAUUUUUAGGGCAUUAAGAAUAUUCCUAAGAAGUAUUUUUUGGUCCAAAUGCAAGUCCAAAAGGAGCUUCAGAAAUUUUUCUAAUACCCGCCCUUUGGAUUAAGAGUCUGUGUUUCUAAGGUAGUUAGUUUGAAAGCAUUGAUAUGACCAAUUUAAUGUAUAAUUUUCAUAUUUUUAAGUCAUAGUAACUUUUUUGAUAUAGGAUGUUAAGCAUUGUCAAAUUGCCUAAAAAACUUUAUAAGCUACAUAUUUCCUGUGUCCCAUUGCCUUAUUUGCAG
rnacentral:lncRNA from 10 species